rnacentral:lncRNA from 1 species
AAUCAUUGCCUUUCGCUGGAUCUAUAAAAUAUACAUUGUGAAUACGAUUAAGGAACGUCGAGAACAAAUAAAUUGGAAUGCAGAUUAUGAUACAAAACAAGCAAAAACUGGGAAAAUUAUUCAGUGUGUUUCGAUUAAUUUACAGAUAAAUUAUGAAAAUAUAUCCCUCAUGGUGUAUCGUUUCAUUCAUCCUACAGUUGCUGCAACACAUAGUUUGUGAAAAUUCACGUAAGUAUAAAGUCUGUUUGAUCUUUCUCAAAUAUUAUUGAAAUAUUUAAUUUUUCAUCUGUUAUUUGCGUGUUAGAGAGCAUCAAUUAUGGUUUUAAUGUUUUCUUUGAACAAGGAAGGGGGUGCUUCUUUCUUUUUUUUUCUUUACUUUUCGUUGUUGUUUCUUUUCGUUGGUGCAUCAAACUGUGCAUGGUUUAGCUCUGUUAAAAAUAACAAACAUACCGAUCUCCACGGAAAAUUCUAAACGGAAAAUUCCUUAGCAAAUUGCUAAAUCAAAUGCUCAAACACAUCAAACAAAUAAAUGGAUAACAACUGUCAUAUUUCUUAUUUCGUAUAUACAGGAAAACUCCACCAUUUACAUUUAAUCCAGCUGGUCACAUUGUUUAACUGUUGUCCUCAUUCAAUACAUUUGGAAUCAAGGUUUUCCUCUACUCUGCUGUAUACCAUAACGUAUUAGGUGUCUAUUUAAAAAACGGUUACUUUAAGGCCCAUCAAGUGCUCCAUUACACUCCUUUCCAUGUGACUUCACAAUUAUGAUGAAAUUACCGAAUCUAAGCGCAGUCUGUAUGGAAAUGUCUAUUGGGGUCUAUGAUUCAGAACAUCAAUACAAGCGCUGUACAUUUGGCUUUUGUCAAGUGUGUGUAGAAAGAUUGUGUCAUAGAUUCUAUUUCUCUGCUUUUACAUUUCGAGUUUAUAAGAUAUUUUGCAGUUAUAUAUGUUUUAGCAGAUGUAAACAAGUGUGCUUAAUAGUGACACAAUAUGAAAUGAUAAAGAAAGAAAAAAAGGUAUAUAAAUGUCAUACUGAGUUGUCGUUACAUAUCAAAAGUAACUUUAACUUUUGCAUAAUUAAGUAGCUUUUCAUUGCUGAUAGAAUUUCUUUUUUAGAUUUGAAACAGAAAAGUAAUUGGUUAGGUAAAACAGCUCUUAAUGAAACACUAAAACGGAUUACUGUGACAGAAAAGACUGAAUUAGAACCCGUUGUUGAAUUUCAUGACGAUUUAAAAUUAUACUUUCAAAUUGACUCUCAGUUUGAUAACAGUUCCAAUAUUCGUUUAAAAAGGGACACAUCGGGUUUCAUAGAAGCAAACAAUAUACAGGCAGAACGAAUUAAAACGAACAAAUUGUUUUCAAAACACGUAACAGCAGAUAUUGUAAAAGCUAAAAAUGUAAAGUCUAUGUCUAUCAUCAUUUCGAUUGGCAAAGCUUUCUCGCUCCAGAAAGUUCGGAGAAAGUCAGAUAACCGAGAGACCUAUGUUUUAAACAGAAAUGGGAUAGAUCCAACAGACACUUCUGUUACAAUCGUACUGAAGCGUGACGAUAGUGAUUCUGUUAAUAUAAACGGAUAUAACUCGGAUACAAUAAGACCGAAAAAAUACGCCAG